UACAGAGGUCUCAAGCGUUGUUCGGAUUCAUUGGGCGUAAAGGGUGUGUAGGUGGCGCGCUAAGUCGGGUGUGAAAUUUCGGAGCUUAACUCCGAAACUGCAUUCGAUACUGCCGUGCUUGAGGACUGGAGAGGAGACUGGAAUUUACGGUGUAGCGGUGAAAUGCGUAGAUAGUCGAUAAGGAAGACCAGUGGCGAAGGCGGGUCUCUGGACAGUUCUGACGCUGAGGCACGAAGGCCAGGGGAGCAAACGGG
rnacentral:rRNA from 1 species